rnacentral:rRNA from 1 species
GACGAACGCUGGCGGCGUGCUUAACACAUGCAAGUCGAACGGAAAGGCCUGCUUUCCCUUGUGGAUUGCGGGUACUCGAGUGGCGAACGGGUGAGUAACACGUGAGUGAUCUGCCCCCAACUUGGGUAUAAGCCUGGGAAACUGGGUCUAAUUCCCGAUAGGACUGCAGGGUGGUGCCUGUGGUGGAAAACGACUUUCUAGUGGUUGGGGAUGAGCUCGCGGCCUAUCAGCUUGUUGGUGGGGUAAUGGCCUACCAAGGCGGCGACGGGUAGCCGGCCUGGGAGGGUGGACGGCCACAUUGGGACUGAGAUACGGCCCAGACUCCUACGGGAGGCAGCAGUGGGGAAUAUUGCACAAUGGGCGGAAGCCUGAUGCAGCGACGCCGCGUGGGGGAUGACGGCCUUCGGGUUGUAAACUCCUUUCGACCGCGAGGAAGCCACCUGGUUGGAAGGGUGGUGACGGUAGUGGUAGAAGAAGCACCGGCUAACUACGUG